rnacentral:rRNA from 1 species
UGCAGGCUGCAACCCGCCUGUAUGAAGUUGGAAUCGCUAGUAAUCGCGGAUCAGCAUGCCGCGGUGAAUACGUUCCCGGGCCUUGUACACACCGCCCGUCAAACCAUGAGAGCUGGUAACACCCGAAGUCAGUAGUCUAACCGCAAGGAGGACGCUGCCGAAGGUGGGGAUUAGCGACUGGGGUGAAGUCGUAACAAGGUACC